UGACAGCACCCAGCAGUGCUUUCAGACUGCCAGCAACUAUUCAAAAAUCUGAACAGCUUUGUUUGCCUGAAGACACGGCCACCCCAUCAGUAGGCAACGAAAAUUCAGAGUGCACCUGCUGAGAAAAGGAAGUAAACAAGGAACUGUUUCCCACCUAACAAAAGGAGCUUAAUUUACCAAGACCAAGAAUGCCAUUUAUGCACUACAACCACGGCAGUUCAGAAACUGGAGACAGGGAGUUCAAUUGAUGAAUCAGAAAUUUGUCGCCAAGUUGUCAACCUAAUUGGUCUAGGUGUCAUUCCAGGAACAAGUACUUCUGCCGUAUCACUCCACUAGAUGCUUGCUCAAAUGUUAUGAAUAGUUCUCUAUUAGUUGUCAUGCUCUAACCGAGAAAACUAAAGCCCGCAAUGCUCACAUGUUUAUGCAUAACUAAGCUGUGGCACCCUGGCACCUGUCUAGCCAGGCUUUGUAUGCCAGUAUAUACCUUUUUUCCCAGUGUAAAGAUGCAUCAGCGCUGCCUGGCCUCUGCUAGGUAAUCCAAUGUAUACGUAUGUAUGUAUGGUAGGACAUGAGCCUUCUUCUGCUGUCCAUUGUGGUAUCCACUAAAACCGAUUUCUUGCAAACUUACAAAUCUACACUAAAUUCACAAAAGACAAACCAAUUUACUCCAAGAUAAUUACUACUAAUUA